UACAGAGGGUGCGAGCGUUAUUCGGAAUUACUGGGCGUAAAGCGUGCGUAGACGGUUGUCUAAGUCGGAUGUGAAAUCCCCGGGCUCAACCUGGGAAUUGCAUUCGAGACUGAACAGCUAGGGUGCGGAAGAGGGAAGCGGAAUUUCCGGUGUAGCAGUGAAAUGCGUAGAUAUCGGAAGGAACAUCAGUGGCGAAAGCGGCUUCCUGGUCCAGCACCGACGUUCAGGCACGAAAGCGUGGGGAGCAAACAGG
rnacentral:rRNA from 1 species